rnacentral:rRNA from 1 species
AUACGUAGGUGGCAAGCGUUAUCCGGAUUUACUGGGUGUAAAGGGCGCGUAGGCGGGGGUGCAAGUCAGAUGUGAAAUCUAUGGGCUUAACUCAUAAACUGCAUUUGAAACUGUAUCUCUUGAGUGCUGGAGAGGUAGACGGAAUUCCUUGUGUAGCGGUGAAAUGCGUAGAUAUAAGGAAGAACACCAGUGGCGAAGGCGGUCUACUGGACAGUAACUGACGCUGAGGCGCGAAAGCGUGGGGAGCAAACAGGAUUAGAUACCCUGGUAGUCCACGCUGUAAACGAUGAAUACUAGGUGUGGGGGGACUGACCCCCUCCGUGCCGCAGUUAACACAAUAAGUAUUCCACCUGGGGAGUACGAUCGCAAGAUUGAAACUCAAAUGAAUUGACGGGG